ACGAACGCUGGCGGCAUGCCUAACACAUGCAAGUCGAACGAGACCUUCGGGUCUAGUGGCGUACGGGUGCGUAACGCGUGGGAACCUGCCCUUAGGUUCGGAAUAACUCCCCGAAAGGGGUGCUAAUACCGGAUAAUGUCUUCGGACCAAAGAUUUAUCGCCUUUGGAUGGGCCCGCGUUGGAUUAGCUAGUUGGUAGGGUAAAAGCCUACCAAGGCGACGAUCCAUAGCUGGUCUGAGAGGAUGAUCAGCCACACUGGGACUGAGACACGGCCCAGACUCCUACGGGAGGCAGCAGUGGGGAAUAUUGGACAAUGGGCGAAAGCCUGAUCCAGCAAUGCCGCGUGAGUGAUGAAGGCCUUAGGGUUGUAAAGCUCUUUUACCCGGGAUGAUAAUGACAGUACCGGGAGAAUAAGCUCCGGCUAACUCCGUG
rnacentral:rRNA from 1 species